AUUGAACGCUGGCGGCAUGCCUUACACAUGCAAGUCGAACGGCAGCACGGACUUCUUUCUGGUGGCGAGUGGCGAACGGGUGAGUAAUGUAUCUGAACGUACCUUUCAUUGGUGGAUAACGUAGCGAAAGUUACGCUAAUACCGCAUAUUCUGUUAUCAGGCAAGCUGUGGUUCGAAAGACCUUUCGCUGAUUUAGCUGCCGAUAUCAGAUUAGCUAGUUGGUGGGGUAAAGGCCUACCAAGGCGACGAUCUGUAGCGGGUCUGAGAGGAUGAUUCGCCACACUGGAAGUGAGACACGGACCAGACUCCUACGGGAGGAAGCAGUGGGGAAUUUUGGACAAAGGGGGCAAACAUGAUACAGCAAGGGGGCGUGAGUGAAGAAGGCCUUCGGGUUGUAAAGCUCUUUCGGCCGGGAAGAAAACGCAUAGGCUAAUACGCAGUGUGGAUGACGGUAACGGAAAAAGAAGCACCGGCUAACUACGUG
rnacentral:rRNA from 1 species